AUUGAACGCUGGCGGCAGGCCUAACACAUGCAAGUCGAGCGGAUGAGGGGAGCUUGCUCCUGGAUUCAGCGGCGGACGGGUGAGUAAUUCCUAGGAAUCUGCCUGGUAGUGGGGGAUAACGUCCGGUAACGGGCGCUAAUACCGCAUACGUCCUGAGGGAGAAAGUGGGGGUUCUUCGGACCUCACGCUAUCAGAUGAGCCUAGGUCGGAUUAGCUAGUUGGUGGGGUAAAGGCCUACCAAGGCGACGAUCCGUAACUGGUCUAAGAGGAGGAUCAGCAACAUGGGAACUAGGCACCGGUCCAGACACCAAGGGGAGGCGCAAGUGGGGAACAUUGGACAAGGGGGGAAGGCCGGAUCCAGCAAGGCGGGGGGGGGGAGGAAGGUCUCCGGAUUGAAAAGUACUUUAAGUUGGGAGGAAGGUCAGUAAGGUAAUAACCUGAUGUUUUGACGUUACCAACAGAAUAAGCACCGGCUAACUUCGUG
rnacentral:rRNA from 1 species